AUUGAACGCUGGCGGCAUGCCUUACACAUGCAAGUCGAACGGUAACAGGUCUUCGGAUGCUGACGAGUGGCGAACGGGUGAGUAAUACAUCGGAACGUGCCUAGUAGUGGGGGAUAACUACUCGAAAGAGUGGCUAAUACCGCAUGAAAUCUACGGAUGAAAGCAGGGGAUCGCAAGACCUUGUGCUACUAGAGCGGCCGAUGGCAGAUUAGGUAGUUGGUGGUAUAAAAGCUUACCAAGCCGACGAUCUGUAGCUGGUCUGAGAGGACGAUCAGCCACACUGGGACUGAGACACGGCCCAGACUCCUACGGGAGGCAGCAGUGGGGAAUUUUGGACAAUGGGCGCAAGCCUGAUCCAGCAAUGCCGCGUGCAGGAUGAAGGCCUUCGGGUUGUAAACUGCUUUUGCACGGAACGAAAAGCCCUGGGUUAAUACCCUGGGGUCAUGACGGUACCGUAAGAAUAAGCACCGGCUAACUACGUGCCAGCCGCCGCCGUAACAC
rnacentral:rRNA from 1 species